GAUGAACGCUAGCUACAGGCUUAACACAUGCAAGUCGAGGGGAAACGAUAGAGAAAGCUUGCUUUUUCUAGGCGUCGACCGGCGCACGGGUGAGUAACGCGUAUCCAACCUGCCCAUCACUUGGGGAUAACCUUGCGAAAGUAAGACUAAUACCCAAUGACGUCUCUAGAAGACAUCUGAAAGAGAUUAAAGAUUUAUCGGUGAUGGAUGGGGAUGCGUCUGAUUAGCUUGUUGGCGGGGUAACGGCCCACCAAGGCGACGAUCAGUAGGGGUUCUGAGAGGAAGGUCCCCCACAUUGGAACUGAGACACGGUCCAAACUCCUACGGGAGGCAGCAGUGAGGAAUAUUGGUCAAUGGGCGAGAGCCUGAACCAGCCAAGUAGCGUGCAGGAUGACGGCCCUAUGGGUUGUAAACUGCUUUUAUAAGGGAAUAGAGUGAGUCUCGUGAGGCUUUUUGCAUGUACCUUAUGAAUAAGGACCGGCUAAUUCCGUGCCAGCCGCCGCAGUAA
rnacentral:rRNA from 1 species